GUUUUGUUUUAUCUAUUGCUACUGUCAAGAGUGGCUAAUACGACAUCUGUAGAAAUAAGUUAUAUAAGUGAAUUAAUUUGCUCAAGUUAUAUUUGUCAGCUCAUCUUUGUAACUGUCUCAUGUUGCCUUCUCUUAUCCAUUUGUCUUUAUUGUGAAACUGUUGUUAAUUGCCGGUGUUCUUUUGCUUCUAGUCACAGUCAUUACCGGAGGAACUAAUGGAGCUGAAAUGUUAGGGUGACUGCCUGGUUUGUUGUGCUAAUAUAUGCUGAAACAGUUCAACUUGUAAGAUCUUCUAAAUAUAGUUUGUGAGAUUUGUACUGUUUGAUCUUGUCUUUGGAUAAUAAGUAUGGUGGUCAAUGUGAGUGCACCCUGAAAAUAUUGUCCAUUUGGCUAUAGGGAUCCGCACAUGCUAAUAACAAUUAAAAUGGUGGUGUGGCUAAGUAAAAAAAAGACUCAUUUUAGAUCAUAAACAAUAUGCAGAUGAUUCACAUGUUGUAUGACCAGAGUUCUCCCUUGGUUUUACUGUUUCUUUAUCCAUAAGUUGAAAGCAAUAUAUUACUAGCCCAUUUUGUUAUUAAAAAUAUCAGUCACCUCAUUCAACUCCAUCACCUAAGAAAUUUGUACGGAAAGGCUGAAGGAUUUAUUUUUGUUGUCCUAUGUAGCCAACAAUAUGAAAUGGCUCUUCCUUUUUUGAGGAGAUAUGAUAUAGCUGUACUUUAUGUUGGUGAGUUGAUCAUGAGUUCGUACACACGUGUUGUUCAUACGCUGUUACAUACUCCUAGGUGCUACUACUAGGUCUUGUCGGUAUCUGCAUCAGGUUACUAACAACUUGACGCUUUUGUUUUCCCCAGGUGAAGAAAGGGCUGCUGCAGUUGUUAGUUGUCACCGAGUUUGUCGCAUCGCAAACCCUCGUGGUCGGUGGUGUUUAUAUGUUAUUAUCUGCAAAAAAAUUAUCGUGCCUUAGCCUAGCCAAGUAUGUAAUGUUGCAAGAUGGUCUGAUUACGUAAUCUGUUGAAUUUUAGCUUAAUUAUUCUAGUAUUAUUUCAAGUUGGAUCUCAUCAUGUCUUGCCUUUUCCACAUGCGUGUGCUUGGCAGCUCUUCUCUUCAGCCAGGAGAGUAUCUGCCACAAGUAUUUGUGUGUUUGUGUCUGCUCAGCUUUGGUUUGAAAAGAAAGGC
rnacentral:lncRNA from 1 species